rnacentral:rRNA from 1 species
UGAGGAAUAUUGGACAAUGGGCGCAAGCCUGAUCCAGCCAUGCCGCGUGAGUGAUGAAGGCCCUAGGGUUGUAAAGCUCUUUCACCGGUGAAGAUAAUGACGGUAACCGGAGAAGAAGCCCCGGCUAACUUCGUGCCAGCAGCCGCGGUAAUACGAAGGGGGCUAGCGUUGUUCGGAAUUACUGGGCGUAAAGCGCACGUAGGCGGAUUGUUUAGUCAGGGGUGAAAUCCCGAGGCUCAACCUCGGAACUGCCCUUGAUACUGGCAAUCUUGAGUCCGGGAGAGGUGAGUGGAAUUCCGAGUGUAGAGGUGAAAUUCGUAGAUAUUCGGAGGAACACCAGUGGCGAAGGCGGCUCACUGGCCCGGUACUGACGCUGAGGUGCGAAAGCGUGGGGAGCAAACAGGAUUAGAUACCCCCGUAGUCC